UACGUAGGGUGCGAGCGUUAAUCGGAAUUACUGGGCGUAAAGCGUGCGCAGGCGGUCUGUUAAGACCGAUGUGAAAUCCCCGGGCUUAACCUGGGAACUGCAUUGGUGACUGGCAGGCUUUGAGUGUGGCAGAGGGAGGUAGAAUUCCACGUGUAGCAGUGAAAUGCGUAGAGAUGUGGAGGAAUACCCAUGGCGAAGGCAGCUCACUGGCCAUUAUCUGACGCUGAGGCGCGAAAGCGUGGGUAGCAAACAGG
rnacentral:rRNA from 1 species